rnacentral:rRNA from 1 species
CAGAGCCACGGUAAUACGGAGGGUGCAAGCGUUAAUCGGAAUUACUGGGCGUAAAGCGCACGCAGGCGGUUUGUUAAGUCAGAUGUGAAAUCCCCGAGCUUAACUUGGGAACUGCAUUUGAAACUGGCAAGCUGGAGUCUUGUAGAGGGGGGUAGAAUUCCAGGUGUAGCGGUGAAAUGCGUAGAGAUCUGGAGGAAUACCGGUGGCGAAGGCGGCCCCCUGGACAAAGACUGACGCUCAGGUGCGAAAGCGUGGGGAGCAAACAGGAUUAGAUACCCGCGUAGUCCCUGUCUCUUAUACA